CCUACGGGGGACAGCAGUGAGGAAUAUUGGUCAAUGGGCGGAAGCCUGAACCAGCCAAGUAGCGUGCAGGAUGACGGCCCUACGGGUUGUAAACUGCUUUUAUACGGGAAUAACGCGCCUUACGUGUAGGGCUUUGCAUGUACCGUAUGAAUAAGGACCGACUAAUUCCGUGCCAGCAGCCGCGGUAAUACGGAAGGUCCGGGCGUUAUCCGGAUUUAUUGGGUUUAAAGGGAGCGUAGGCCGCAUGUCAAGCGUGCUGUGAAAUGUCCGGGCUCAACCCGGGCCUUGCAGCGCGAACUGGCGUGCUUGAGUCCGCGGAAAGCAGGCGGAAUUCGUCGUGUAGCGGUGAAAUGCUUAGAUAUGACGAAGAACCCCGAUUGCGAAGGCAGCCUGCUGCAGCGGAACUGACGCUGAUGCUCGAAAGCGCGGGUAUCGAACAGGAUUAGAUACCCCUGUAGUC
rnacentral:rRNA from 1 species